rnacentral:rRNA from 1 species
CCUUAUGGCUAUACCACCCUCUCUGCGCCCGAUCUCGUCUGAUCUACUAAGCUAAGCAGGGUCGGGUCUGGUUAGUACUUUGAAUGGGAGAACGCCUGGGAAUACCAGGUGCUGUAAGCU